CAGUAGCGAGAUGGACGAGACCACCCCGAAUUAGGGGGGGGGGGCCCUCGGGAGGAACUGUUGCGCCCUUUCGCCCCCUUCCAUUGGACGCAACUAUCAGCCCAACCAUCAAUGUGCCUGGGCGGUUCCUCGGCAUCCCUAUCGAUCUUCCCUUUCGCUUGCCAUAGACUUGCGUUGGGCGGUGGCUUCCCAUUCUGUUUCUGCUGCUGCUGCGAUGCACCUGCCGAUGGUGCAUUUAGAGCAGGCCUGGGCAAACUUAGGCCCUCCGGGUGUUUUGGACUCCAACUCCCACCAUUCCUAACGGCCUCAAGCCCUUUCUUUUCCCCCUCAGCCGCUUAAGCCACCUUGGUUAGCAUUGAAUGGCCUUGCAGAUUCAAAGCCUGGCUGCUCCCUGCCUGAGGCAGUAACAGCAAAAUGUGGAGAAGUCAAAGGUGUGGUGGGAGAGAAAGAAUGCAUACUUCUGCAAGAAUGGUCAAUUCCAUCUUGUGUUGAUGCAAGCACUCCUUGAGAGCCCAACCCAGCACUACAUCCAAUGUUCGGGUCUUCUGACGAAAGAGCUGUGGUAGGCCUGCUAUUUUCUGCUUCACUUGUUUUGUCAUCAGCCAUAUCUAAUUGCUCAACAGACUUUAAAUACUGUUGGAGAAGACUAUUGUCCUGAUCACUACUGAAGCUCACUUCACUGCAUUCCUUAUAGAUCGCCUCAGUUUCUGAUGGACAUCUUGGAAGGUCAUCUUCAUUUGGUAUGAUUGUUUCCAAAGAAUUCACCAGGGAGCUUUCUUCUACUUUCCCCCAUUUUUCUUCAGGGCAUUGUGAUUCAUUAAGGCAAUUCUGGUCUGUCACACAGGAAUGGAAGCCCGAGUCAGGAAACUGUGGUGUAUAUUUCGGAUGACCAGCCUUAGCAUCUGAAACCAGCCACAUUGAACUAUCAACAGGAGAAGACCUUUGAUUGAGUUCCGAAGAGUCCAUGGGUAGCUUGGAGGGAUUCAAAAUAUUUGAUUUUGGAAUGUUACAUUGCCAGAGAGCAUUCAGAUGUGGGUUUACUGAAAGCUGCCACUCCUGGAUAGAUCUAACCUGUAAAUACCACAGAGAGAGAAAAUUACAGUAUCAGUAAAAGAGUCAUACGUGCAUAUCAUGUAUUUACAAACAUGCAGUUUUCUCUCACCCUAUUGAAGAUAUAUAACCAAAAGCAAUAUCCAUAAGAAUAUGUGUUCUUUAAAAUAUCCCUUAGCUCAACUGGAGAAUACAACACAUAGUUCUCUUCCAUUUAUCUUCUAGGGCACCUUAGUUUUUAUUGAUAUGGAGGAGAAAAUGAUUUAAAUGUAUGAUUUUUACCUGGUUCCAAAGAAAUUUAACAGCUUCUUCUUGCACAAGUCUUUGAAGCUUCUCUUCAUCCUUUUCUUUCCUUAAUCUACAAAUGGUAAAUACAUAGAGGGUCUUUAAUGUGGUUACAAAUCCAUCCAAACAUGUUUACUGAAGCAAUGGAUGAACUCUUUCAUUGACUUUCAAGAGUGGCUUUUGGAAGGUAUUAUACACUAACUAGGUCAGUGUUUCUCAACCUGGGGGUUGAGAUCCUAGGGGGUCACGAGGGGGUAUCACGAGGGGGGGGGGGAGGGUUCAGAAGGGUUGCCAGAGACCAGUAUUUUCUGUUGGUUCUGGGGGUUGUAUGUAGGAAGUUUGGCCCAAUUUGAUUGUUAGUGGGGUUCAAGGGGCUCUUUGAUUGUAGGUGAACUAUAAAUCCUAGCAACUACAAUUCCCAAAUGUCAAGGUCUAUUUUCCCCAAACUCCACCAUUGUUCAAAUUUGGGCAUAUUUACUAUUCUUUCCAAGUUUGGUCCAGAUCCAUCAUUAUUUGAGUCCACAGUGUUCUCUGGACAUAGGGGAACCACAACUCCAAAACUCAAGGUCAAUGCCCACCAAACCCUUCCAGUAUUUCCUGCUAGUCAUGGUAGUUUUGCAUGACAAUUUUGGUUCAAUUCCAUCAUUGGUGGAGUUCUGAAUGCUCAUUGAUUAUAAGUGAACUAUAAAUCCCUGCAACUACAACUUCCAAAUGACAAAAUUAAUCCCCCCAACCCCACCAGUAUUCAAAUUUGGAUGGAUAUAUUGGGUAUUUGUGCCAAAUUUAGUCCAGUGAAUGAAAAUACACCCUGCAUAUCAGAUAUUUACAUUACGGUUCAUACAGUAGCAAAAUGACAGUUAUGAAGCAGCAACAUCAACAGACUUUUUUGAAUACAGGGCCUGCAGAAGAGUAAUCUGGAUUUAAUGAACAGUCUUUGAACUAUUUUGGACAUCUGUCACAGAGUUGGUGAUCACUGCUACUUGCCUUAUUUAAGGAAGUAGAUUGUUCAGUGCCAUCAUCUGGGGCAGCACUAACUAAGUACCAAGCAAGUAUCUUUGCUGAGAUACUUCAGUCCUGCUAUUUUCUCCUAGGGAGACCCAACACUGUGCUUCUUGAGACAUUACUCUUAUUUUUUCUGUGGAUUCCACUGGAUGUUUUACACUUCUUGUAUAUUAAAAAUCAAAAGUAUUAUUAUUUAGAGUAAAUUGCCUCAUUACUUUUGAGACCUUCUGAAGCUGAUGAGCUUUAUUGACCUCAAUCCCACUUCUACUCCCAACUGUAGAUCCAUUAUAUCAACAAAAAUUUAAAAGGUACUAACUCACUAAGUUCCUAUUUCGUUCAUCCAUCUACUCUAGUAGAGACAACCACUCAGAUUUAUUGCUCAGUAACUAUCUAACUUGCUCUGAACACAGAAUAAGAAACGACACAUUAAAACAUACACCCUUACCAAUUGAUAAUGAAACAACUGCAUCCUGCUACUGUUCUAGUGUCAUUGUAAACAAGGUAAAGUUUAAAGAUUAACUCCAAUUGCAACAGCAUAAUUUCUAUACUAUGAACUUUCAUCUUGAAAAUGGCUGGUCACUUACUGGUUGAUUUCUUCUGUUAAAUGUAUAAUAUGCUCCUGCAUUCUGCGGAGUCUAAUCUCAUAGCGCGCCUCCUUGGCUUUGAGAUUAUAGUUCCUUGUAUAAAAUCCUCUCCAACAGGCUUGAAGCUUGAUGGCUGCUCUGUUCAUUUCUUCAAGCACACCUUCCCCUUUAAUUAAUGUAGAUACAUCAGGAGGGUUAGUAGAUGCAUCUUCUAGAGGUUUGGCAGAGGUGACAGUUUUGACUAAGUUCUCUUCAGUUGCACUCGAUUGCUUGAGGCCAUUCAGCUCCAGAUGGUCUUCAGAAGGUGCUUGACAACUGCUAAUGACAGCAGGUAGAGUGACAGUGGCUACUGAUAAACUAGAAGUGGACAAUGUGUCCUUGUCUUGAUCUUCUUUUUGAGUUUUUAUAAUGUUUGCUGAUUUGAUGGCAUACUCUCCAUGAACCAUAGAGGUCUUAUCUUUUCCUUUAUCUUGUUUAUUAAUCUCCAGAUCGGCAGCCCCUAAGUCCUCCAUAUCAGCAUCUAUUCCUUGAAGCCUCAGCUCUCCAAUACUAGGAGACACGGGAGAUUGUCCUGAAGCAACUGGCAUAAAAGUUGAUUCAGAGGACAGAAGACUACUGUUCAAUUUGUCUUCAUCAGUUUGUAUGUCAUCCAGAUAAAAAUCCUCACAAGUACUUCCUUCAGCCUGCACUGAGGCUGGAGACACAUUCUUGACUGCAUAGGAAUGGUCAUCAUUGGACUUUAUUGCAACCCAAGUAUUCUUCUUGAUAACAGGUUCUGGGAAAUGUAAAUGAAAUAGAAAUGGACUACAAUGCCUUCUAUUAUUAUGUAUUUUGUCAGACAUAAAUUAUGCACUAACACACUAAUAAACAGAACUGGCUCCCAGA